rnacentral:misc_RNA from 1 species
AAAAGCUUCGCCAGGUUAGGCGCAACCUUGACCAAGCAAAGAUCAUUCUUGAGGCUCUCAUCAAGAGAGAGGAGAAGAAGCGAGAGGUUAUUGAUAGUGAGAUUAGCCUCCAGAGACUUCAAAUGAAACACAAGAAUGAAACUGAGCUUUUUGUGGAUGCCUUUACUCUGCCUGAAUUUCCUUCCUUCCCAAGUAAGGUUGGUUCAAGUGAGGACGAAUUUGUCGACUCUGAUGAUCCUUCUACUAGCCGUCGGCAUAUAGCACAAAACAUUACCUUCCCG